UCCACAAAAUAUACCCAACUAUUAUUACAGUUUUCAGUAACUAGCUUGCUACUACCUACAAGCAAAAGUUAUCUGGUAGCUAGCUCUACAAGCAAAAGUAUCAUUAUCGAUCUCACGCAACUUGUUAUCCGCGCGCUAACUAGCUACAAUGAAGACAACGGAUAUCUACCAAUGAUACUAACCCAAGUGUUGUUUGAUUCAACCCCCACGUUCCAGAUUAGCGCUAACCGGGGGAAAUGGUAACCACUCGGUACACACCCCUACACCCCUCUGUUGUUAAAAGAAAAAACUUUUUCCUAUCCCAUCUCUCCAUCCCACGAUUCCUCUCUGACCCGAGCUCCAUGGCCAUGACGCUGCCGCCAUGACCUCCGGUUCAGCCUAGCUCCGGUGCUCUUCUGCGUUGUUGCUCGCUGGCCCCAACUCCCCAUGAGUGCUAUCCUCAGAUCCUCCAUCGCCGCGAGGUCCUCCGGGCCCCUGCACGUGCCCCUGCAGCAACCCGCCACCACGGGUCACCGGCGCGGCUCCUGCUCCUCCGGUUUUUCGGCUCACUGACCCCGGCGUCUCCGCACGAGCGGCUGCCGCCACUGGCUCAACGGUGCUGCUCUGCCUCGGCUACCUCGACUCCCACGGCAAUGGUUCAGUUUCCUAUAAUAUUAGAGAUACAAAGCUACCUGAAUUUCAUGAGUGCUGGGAAGAUAAAUGGCCAGCAAUGAUGGGAGCACCUCAAUGACAUCACGUAGGUGUGGUGUUCAUCAAUCCCUUGUUUCUUUGUGUGUGUGUGUGCGCGCGCGUCGUGUGUACAUGAAUUCAUCUUUAUAUGCCAUGUUGAUUGAUCAUUUAGAUUCAGGAUGCAGGAGGAUGCUUCCGCGGCACUUCCCCAACGUUCGCUACCAAAAUAGCAGGAUUAGCAGUAUACACAAGUUUUCAUUGCCAGCUACACCCGGCGGGCACAUGCGGUGGUCCGCAUCUCAGUUUAGCUACUUUUGAGUUUUGUCUAGUGCUAAGUGCAGUACACCAGUUUGCAAACUUACUGCUAUACAGUAUACACAUUCAGAUGUCACUAUCCACAUUCAGAUUUCUAGUUUGUAAUCAUACACGCUUAUGUAGACAAUUUGCUAGCUCAUCCGGACAUACAAGCUCAUGCAGACACAUUCAAAAUAUGUAGACAUUCAGACCAAAGUGAUAUAUCAUCUUCAUAUUCUGAAACCUAAGUUAUAAUUUCUUUGUACAGAAUAAUAGCUUGUAGUAAAUAAACGCAGUAGAUGUGCAUGCACUAUUCCUUCAAAAAUUCAGAAUAUCCAGGUUAUCAGUAUUACUCUUCCUGUACUACCACUACCAUCUGGCACAUUGCAUUGGAUAAACAACCUAGCUUCCUUUUUCUCAUGACCAUCAUAUAUAGUUAAACAAGACUUCGCAGAUGAUUAAUGAAGUCUAGGGAUAAGCGAAGAACAAUGUGCUAGGAACUUAUAUUAGCGAUCAUGUGCCACAACUUAGAAUCUGAAGUUUUUGUUUGAUAUUUGCAGGCGUUAGUAGAAGUUCUUACAUCUGAAUUAUUCUUUCUAAAAUCGCCCGAGAAGACAUCACUUCUUGCCUGAUGGUGUGACAUGCGUACCCGUUCAGUUGAGAAAAUCGUUAGUCGAAGCACUUGACUAGAUUCCAAUGGUCUAUGUAUAUCAAACAACCACUUACUACCGGCAGCUAUAGUUUCUCUGAGCACAAACUGCUCAGUAUUAAAUCAAGUAAUUAAGAUUCCAGUUUCAUUUGCUUGUUUUUAGGUACAAAACAGACACAGGUUCAGAGUUCUAACAUUUUCUUACAACAUGCUCGUUAAGAACUUGUUUAUUAUUCAAAGUAGUAUACUUUAACUGUUUGUAUUUUCUUCAUUGCUAGGAGAAGAUGAAGAGUAUGCACUUUAUUAUGGCGACAACUGGCAGGAACUAUCUUCAGGAUAUGGAGUUAUGGAUGCCAAGAGAUACCGAUCAGUUUGGUUCGAGUUAAUGAAGAUUGAACAUGUCAAUCUAGAUGCUCAUGCAGCGAAGCUUUGAUCUGUUUUAUGUACAAAGCACAUGUUCUCGUUAAACACAUGUGUACAAGCUGAAGAUCAGCAAUGCCAUUCUGAUGUGCAAUACUUGGAACAAAGCAUAUCUAUAUACAGUAUCAUGUAUUCCUUGGAUGGUGCUCUUUGUAAAGUAACAUUAUUGAUUAAAUAUAUGAGAUCUUUUUUUACUA